ACUCAAAGGAAUUGACGGGGGCCCGCACAAGCGGUGGAGCAUGUGGUUUAAUUCGAUGCAACGCGAAGAACCUUACCUACCCUUGACAUCCUACGAAGACUGCAGAGAUGCGGUUGUGCCGAAAGGAACGUAGAGACAGGUGCUGCAUGGCUGUCGUCAGCUCGUGUUGUGAGAUGUUGGGUUAAGUCCCGUAACGAGCGCAACCCUUAUCCUUAGUUACCAGCACGUUAUGGUGGGGACUCUAAGGAGACUGCUGGUGAAGAACCGGAGGAAGGUGGGGACGACGUCAAGUCAUCAUGGCCUUUAUGGGUAGGGCUACACACGUGCUACAAUGGGCAGUACAGAGGGAAGCGAAGCUGUAAAGCGAAGCCAAUCUCAGAAAGCUGUUCGUAGUCCGGAUUGAAGUCUGCAACUCGACUUCAUGAAGUCGGAAUCGCUAGUAAUCGCGAAUCAGAACGUCGCGGUGAAUACGUUCCCGGGCCUUGCACACACCGCCCGU
rnacentral:rRNA from 1 species